rnacentral:misc_RNA from 1 species
AUUCAGUUAUUCAACGUAGUACCUAACCAAAGAGUAAAAUAACUUGCUUGUUCAGAUAAACUGAAAAACUGAUGGAUUGGUUUUAAACUCUAAGAUAAUGUUACAUUAUCACUGAAUGGCUCAGGGAAUAUUUUCACGGAAGAAAACGGAACAGUUAAAAUCGUGCUAAUCGUAUUAUAAUAAUACCUAAUUAAUAUGUUUUUGAUGAAGAUUAUUUUUUAAAUUUCAAUCAUGUUAUAAAGAGAUUAAUUCAAAAAAUUUCUGGUGCUUUAGCUAUUAAGAAGUCUUUUAAUUUUGUAACUUAGCAACGGCUAUUUCUCUUAAAAAAGACUUUAUUGUCUCAAUUACACAUCAUCAUCAUCAUCAUCAUCUCAAUAACACUGAUCAUCCCUAAUUAUGUCUUCUCCAUUCUAAGUGAUAUUGGUCCAAUUGACUGUGCCAAUUAGUUAAAUAAUAUUUUAAUUUACUGUAUAUGUUGUAUUUGCACAUAACAUAUUUUUUAAAUUUUUUUAGACUCAAAAUGCCAGGAGAAAUCUUGACUUUAAACGGCCAGACAAGAUUAAUGGUCUACCACUUACACUGUUUUAUGAAAAAGGAAGCUGAAGACGGUAUCACAAAUUUAAAACAAAUUGAGAGAAAAGAACAGCAAAGGCCAACAUCUGUUGCAACAGUCAGGCGUAUUGUAAAUGAAAGCAGUAAAGGUGAAUUUAUUUCGGUUUUCAGAACCCCAGGUUGACUGAUAACUAGGAUGAAACCUAUCACAGAUAACUGGAAUCAAGGGGGUAAUUAGAAGAUGUAUACAAAAUUUUCAUAUAACAGAAAAAGAGUUACCAACAAAUUGAAAACCGCAAACGAAAUUACAAAAUGAAAUGAAUUUUAAAGGAUAAUUAGGAGUUUAGGUUUCAAAUGGAGAAAGCCAGAAAAGAAUAGGCAAGUCCUAAUAGAAACAUUUAAUAUUCGCUUAAAAAGGAUAAUUUCUUAAAGCAAAUUAGCCAGUACAAUACAAUACAAAUACUCUUUAUUGCACUAUCAAAGAAAAAAAUUUACACCGAAAAAUAAAAUAUAGACAUGUACAAAAGGUGGUCUUAUCGCUAAAAGAGACUUCCAGACAACUAUAGCAUGAAAAGGACAUGGCAAAAGAAUUAGACGGCAUGGAGGUGUACAUACAUAAUAUAUACAUAUAACACGUAAACAUACAUAUACAUAUUACAUAUAUAUAUAUAUACACACAAUGCCAAUAUAAGCAAAAAAGAAGAAUAAUAUGCCAGUAUAAGCAAAAAGGAAGGCCGGUAGGCCAGGUAGUAUAUAUAGACGAAUCCUAUAGAUUUUGCUCAUUUGACUGCCAAAGCUUGUACAGAAAAGGUCUAAAAAUACCGAUUAUAAAAGGACAUCGGUUAGUUAUUGUUCAUGCUGGGUCUGAUUUAGGCAUUAUUCCAAAUGCACUUCUAAUAUUUAAAGUAGAUAAGACAGGGGACUGCCCUGAUAGUCUAAACUAUAAAAAAUAUGAGAAAUCGCUACAUAAAGAGUUAGUGCCAAAUCUGCCUGAUAAUUCUGUUGUGGUUAUCGGUAACGCUUCCUACCAUAAUGAGCAAUUUGACCUAGCACCGACGUCUACCGCUAAAAGAAUAGAAAUGCAGGCCUAGAUAACUGAAAAAGGCUUACAAUAUACUGAUGGCAUGUUAAAACCACAGUUGAACAAUAUUAUUAAAAGUCACAAAGAUAAACAUACAGCAUUUAAAAUAGAAAAAAUAUUAGCGGAAAAUCUUCAAAACUUCACAGAUGAUGAAGAUGUAGAAAUGGCUACAGACAGUAGCGGUGAUGAUGAUUCAUUUUGUGGUCUCACACCUUUGAAUGUUAAAUUAAUGAUGUAGUUUUAAACAUUAAAUAAAUCUAUUUUUUUUACACUUUUAAUUAAUAUUCAUUAUAGUAUUUGCAUGGAAAAACUUUGUAGGUAUGGAAAACUUUUUUUUUUUUCUUUUUGGUAAGCUUUUUAUUCUUUAAAAAAAUUAAUCAAUCGCAACAUUAUUUAUUUAAUCUGACAUAUAAAAAUUGAAUUUAAUUGUAUUAAUAUAGAUGUACUAAUUUGUGUUAUUAUUAUUGAAUUUUUGUUUUUAUGAAUUUUGUUUUUUUUUAUUUGAUAAUUUGAUUUAUUAGACGUAAAAUUAUUAUUCUUUUUUAAUUGAUUUUAUUGAAUUGUUUUAAUUAAUUGAUAAUGUUACAUAUUGAAUGUUUGUUUUUAUGAAUUUUUAAAGUGAUUAUUUUGUUUUUAAUGAAUUGUUUAAAUUGUUUGUUAAAUUUAAUGUUAUUUCUUGUGAUCAACUCAACUAACGCAUUGGGUUACUGUAAUGUUAGUUCUAAGGUUUUUAUGCAUAAAUAAAUAAAUAAAUUAUUUUUUAUUAUGUAAUA